UCAAGCUGAUAAGGGCGCAGGGUGGAUGCCUUGGCACUAAGAGCCGAAGAAAGACGUGAUAAGCUGCGAAAAGCUGCGGUGAGGAGCAAAUAUCCAUUGACCCGCAGAUAUCUGAAUGGGGAAACCCGGCUGAGCAAACCUCAGUCAUCCAUACGCCAAUACAUAACGUAUGGAGGGGAACCCGGGGAACUGAAACAUCUAAGUACCCGGAGGAAGAGAAAGAAACAUCGAUUUCCUAAGUAGCGGCGAGCGAAAGGGAAAGAGCCUAAACCGGAGCGCGUGCGUUCCGGGGUCAUGGACUGCAUAAGUGAGUCAGAAGCUAGAAGAAAGGUUUUGGGAAAGCCUGCCAGAGAGAGUGAAAGCCUCGUAUUUGAAAGCGGAAGACAGCGGCAGUAUCCGGAGUACCACGAGACACGAGAAACCUUGUGGGAAGUCGGGGGGACCACCCCCCAAGGCUAAAUACUACUUAGUGACCGAUAGCGCAUAGUACUGUGAAGGAAAGGUGAAAAGAACCCCGGGAGGGGAGUGAAAGAGAACCUGAAACCCUGUGUCUACAAGCUGUGGAAGCACCCUACGAGUGCAACCGCGUACUUUUUGUAGAACGGUCCGGCGAGUUAUGUGGUGUGGCAAGGUUAAGCACGGAAAGUGUGGAGCCGAAGGGAAACCAAGUCUUAACUGGGCGGUUAAGUCACAUAACAUAGACCCGAAACCGGGUGAUCUAUCCAUGUCCAGGUUGAAGCUGCUGUAAAAGGUGGUGGAGGACCGAACGCACAUCCGUUGAAAAGGGUGGCGAUGAGGUGUGGAUAGGGGAGAAAUUCCAAUCGAACUCGGAGAUAGCUGGUUCUCCUCGAAAUAGUUUUAGGACUAGCCUGUCAGGAGUCUGCUGGAGGUAGAGCACUGAAUUUUUGCGGGGGCGUCAAAGCCUACCAAUGAAUAUCAAACUCCGAAUGCCAGCCAGAUGCUCUGAUGGAGUCAGACUGCACGAGAUAAGUUGGGUAGUCAAAAGGGAAACAGCCCAGACCACCAGCUAAGGUCCCAAAGUGCGUGUUAAGUGGAAAAGGAUGUGGGAAUUCGAAGACAACUAGGAUGUUGGCUCAGAAGCAGCCAUUCAUUCAAAGAGUGCGUAACAGCUCACUAGUCGAGAGUUCCUGCGCCGAAAAUGUCCGGGGCUAAAACACGACACCGAAGCUGUGGAAUCAUGCUUGCAUGAUUGGUAGAGGAGCAUUCGCUGAGAGACGAAGCUGUACCGAAAGGAGCAGUGGAUUUCAGUGAAGAGAGAAUGCCGGAAUGAGUAGCGAGAGAUAGGUGAGAAUCCUAUCGGCCGAAUAUCUAAGGUUUCCAGAGUAAAGCUGAUCUGCUCUGGGUAAGUCGGGGCCUAAGGCGAGGUCGAAAGACGUAGUCGAUGGAUAACAGGUUGAAAUUCCUGUACUAUCCUGUAACAGAACUGUGGGGACACAGGCAGAGAGCGUGAGCCGGGAAUGGAAAGACCGGUACAAGCGAGGUAGGAGAAGAGUUGGCAAAUCCGCUCUUUAAUCUGAAGACGUGAUGUGGACUGAAAAUAAGUAGGGAAGCACGUGAGCUGACUGUCAAGAAAAGCCGCUAUUGUUUGCAGGAUACCCGUACCGUAAACCGACACAGGUGGAUGAGGAGAGAAUCCUAAGGCCGACGGGAGAAGCAUUGUUAAGGAACUCGGCAAAAUGACUCCGUAACUUCGGGAGAAGGAGUGCCAGUAAGAUGGCCGCAGAGAAUUGGCCCAAGCAACUGUUUAGCAAAAACACAGGUCUAUGCAAAACCGAAAGGUGAGGUAUAUGGGCUGACGCCUGCCCGGUGCUGGAAGGUUAAGAGGAGAUGUUAGAGCAAUCGAAGCAUUGAAUUUAAGCCCCAGUAAACGGCGGCCGUAACUAUAACGGUCCUAAGGUAGCGAAAUUCCUUGUCGGGUAAGUUC
rnacentral:rRNA from 1 species